rnacentral:rRNA from 1 species
AUAAAAAAAAAAUCGUGCUCUGCUGCUUUAAAUAAAUAUCUGCGCGUCCGGAAAAAAAAAGUGACCUCUCUCCCCUUAAAAAAAAUUACCCGCGCGCCCCGGAAAAAAAAGAGGGGCCCGUUUCCCCCCGUAAAAAAUUUCCCCGCCGGUGGAAAAAAAAAUAAGCCGGUGGCAAAAAAAAAAAAAAACGGGUUUGGCUCUCUUGUUAUUGGGGGGGGAAAAUUUUCCCCGCUUUAAAAAGUAAACCGCGCGGGGGGGGAUUUAUAAGCGGAGGAAAAGAAACCAACAGGGAUUGCUUCGGUAAAGGGGAUUGAAGCGGCAAAAGAUCAAAUUUGAAAUCUUUUGGGAAUUGUAUUUUGAAGGUGGGUUUGGUCGGAAAAGUUACUUUAAGUCCAUUGGAAAAUGGCGCCUGGAGGGUGAUAGCCCCGUAAAAAUAUCCCUUUUCCUUUUAUCCUUUCCCUCCAAAGAGUCGAGUUGUUUGGGAAUGCAGCUCUAAGUGGGUGGUAAAUUCCAUCUAAAGUUAAAUAUUGGCGAGAGACCGAUGGCGAACAAGUACAGUGAUGGAAAGAUGAAAAGCACUUUGAAAAGAGAGUGAAAAAGUACGUGAAAUUGUUGAAAGGGAAGGGUUUGCAAGCAGACACAACCUCGGUUGGGCCGGCAUCGGAGUGGGGGGAGACAAAAAAGAAAAGGAGUGUAACUCAUUGAAUAUUAUAACCCUUUUUUUAUAUCUCCCCCCCCUUGCGAGGCCGGGGAUUCUUCCAGGAAGCCGGCCUAAUGGUUGCAAGUUCCCCGUCUUGGAAACCGACCCCCCCCGCGGCGUUUUAUUUUUUUGGGGGGAAAACUUCUUUUCUCUGUUUUAGGGGCCCCCCCUGUUGUUUUUUUAAACGAGGGGGCUUUUUUUCUUUUUUACACAGGCCGGGGGAUUUUUAUGGGGGGAAAAAUGCCCCCCCCCUUAUUAAAGGGCCGCGGGGGUUUUUUUAGGAGGAGCAAUAGGAUUGUUAAAAAGACCGCCGGAAAAAAAAUGGGGAGGAGGAGGCUUUUGUGUUUUUUUUUGCGGGGGUCCGGUGUC